rnacentral:rRNA from 1 species
GGAUGCGAUCAUACCAGCACUAAAGCACCGGAUCCCAUCAGAACUCCGAAGUUAAGCGUGCUUGGACGAGAGUAGUACUAGGAUGGGUGACCUCCUGGGAAGUCCUCGUGUUGCAUUCCC